UACGGAGGGGGCUAGCGUUGUUCGGAAUUACUGGGCGUAAAGCGUACGUAGGCGGCUUUGUAAGUUAGAGGUGAAAGCCCCGGGGCUCAACCCCGGAAUUGCCUUUAAGACUGCAUCGCUUGAACGUCGGAGAGGUGAGUGGAAUUCCGAGUGUAGAGGUGAAAUUCGUAGAUAUUCGGAAGAACACCAGUGGCGAAGGCGGCUCACUGGACGACUGUUGACGCUGAGGUACGAAAGCGUGGGGAGCAAACAGG
rnacentral:rRNA from 1 species